AGCCAACCAGUUAAAAAAAAAAACUGUGGUAAUCUGUGGCAUCACAUCCAUAACCGCUUUCUAAGUUUUUGAUAAAGUUUGUUUUGUUAUAAAGACUAAGAAGUUUUUUGUUUGUUAAUUACGUUUUUAACAAUGCCACCAACCAGACGUACAAAUUUAGGCCGCAGAACUCAAAAUACGGCAAGUCAAAGAAAUCUACGAGCAAAUCAAACUGAUGAGCAACGCGAAGCGCGAAAUGAACUUCAACGGAAUCGAAAUCAACAUAUAAAUGUUGUGUUUAAUCCCCACAGAGCUGCAUUCAGUUAUAAUAGGAUAUGCGAAAUUUGUAUAGGUUUACUAUUUGUAUUAUUUUCAAAAAAUUAUAAAAUGUGAAAGUUGAAA